AAUCACUGGAAGGAGUUUUCGGACAACGGAAGGUGAGGACAGUGGCGGACGGGUGAGUAACGCGUGAGGAACCUGCCUUUCAGAGGGGGACAACAGUUGGAAACGACUGCUAAUACCGCAUGACACAUAGAGAUCGCAUGGUUUUUAUGUCAAAGAUUUAUCGCUGAAAGAUGGCCUCGCGUCUGAUUAGCUAGUUGGUGAGGUAACGGCCCACCAAGGCGACGAUCAGUAGCCGGACUGAGAGGUUGACCGGCCACAUUGGGACUGAGAUACGGCCCAGACUCCUACGGGAGGCAGCAGUGGGGAAUAUUGGGCAAUGGGCGCAAGCCUGACCCAGCAACGCCGCGUGAAGGAAGAAGGCUUUCGGGUUGUAAACUUCUUUUGUCGGGGACGAGUAGAAGACGGUACCUGGCGAAUAAGCCACGGCUAACUACGUGCCAGCAGCCGCGGUAAUACGUAGGUGGCAAGCGUUGUCCGGAUUUACUGGGUGUAAAGGGCGUGUAGCCGGGAAGGCAAGUCAGAUGUGAAAUCCACGGGCUUAACUCGUGAACUGCAUUUGAAACUACUUUUCUUGAGUAUCGGAGAGGCAAUCGGAAUUCCUAGUGUAGCGGUGAAAUGCGUAGAUAUUAGGAGGAACACCAGUGGCGAAGG
rnacentral:rRNA from 1 species